UCGGAAUCGCUAGUAAUCGCGGAUCAGCAUGCCGCGGUGAAUACGUUCCCGGGCCUUGUACACACCGCCCGUCACACCAUGAGAGUUUGUAACACCCAAAGCCGGUGGGGUAACCUUUUGGAGCCAGCCGUCUAAGGUGGGACAGAUGAUUGGGGUGAAGUCGUAACAAGGUAGC
rnacentral:rRNA from 1 species